rnacentral:rRNA from 1 species
AGAGUUUGAUCCUGGCUCAGAACGAACGUUGGCGGCGUGGAUUAGGCAUGCAAGUCGAACGAGAACCGGGGGCAACUCCGGGGAAAGUGGCGAAAGGGGCAGUAAUGCGUGGGUAACGUACCCCCUGGACCGGGAUAGCCGCGGGAAACUGCGGGUAAUACCGGGAGAAGUAAGCGAACCGCCUGGCUCGCUUACCAAAGGGUCCGCCGCCGGGGGAGCGGCUCACGUGGUAUUAGCUUGUUGGCGGGGUAACGGCCCACCAAGGCUGAGAUGCCUAGCAGGCGUGAGAGCGUGACCUGCGCCACUGGCACUGAGACACUGGCCAGACUCCUACGGGAGGCUGCAGUCGAGGAUCUUCGGCAAUGGGCGCAAGCCUGACCGAGCGACGCCGCGUGUGCGAUGAGGGCCUUCGGGUUGUAAAGCACUGUCGAGGGGGAGGAAGGCGCAAGCUUGACCUAUCCCUGGAGGAAGCACGGGCUAAGUUCGUGCCAGCAGCCGCGGUAAGACGAACCGUGCGAACGUUGUUCGGAAUCACUGGGCUUAAAGGGCGCGUAGGCGGGGGACCAAGUCCGGGGUGAAAUCUUUCGGCUUAACCGGAAAAUUGCCUUGGAUACUGGUUCUCUUGAGGGAGGUAGGGGCAGCUGGAACUUCCGGUGGAGCGGUGAAAUGUGUUGAUAUCGGAAGGAACGCCGGUGGCGAAAGCGGGCUGCUGGACCUUUUCUGACGCUGAGGCGCGAAAGCUAGGGGAGCGAACGGGAUUAGAUACCCUGGUAGUCC